UCGUUUUCUGAUGUGAAUCAAUCAGCGGCGCUGUCCGAGGUGCUGAAACGGAACCUCUGCGGAGCAUCGGCGCGUAAAACACAGAGUUCCCGUAUUUGACGGUUGCGGACACGGUGCUGACAAUCGUAUCUGCUCAGGAUACAGAGCUUAGUGUCCUCGUGCUCCUAAGUGUCAAAUAAUGUAAAGUAAUUCUAGGCGUGUUUGCUUUAUUUCAUCUCCCCAUCUACGGCGGCCCGUUGUGCGUGACAGCGUCUCGCAUCGUUCGCCGCGUGGCUUUCGUUAGAUCCCGUCGGUUUUAUUGCAGUCAGAUUGCGCCAGUGCUGGCACGCGCGCGCUCUUGUUUUCGUGGUGUGUGGAGAAGUUCUGGCGGCGUGUUUUAGCGGAGCCCGUCUGCAUUGCGUCGAAAGCCUCCAACUCCUCCUCCUGCUGCUGCUGCCCUCCCUCCCCUGUCCUCACCCCUCCCCUCUUUCUCCUCACCUCCCCUGCACUUCCAUGUAAAGAGCCCAGGGAAACAUGCGUGUGGAGCAAACACUCGGACUUCGCCGCGGCUCCUGACUGUCCUGUAACUGUACAUUAUUAUUUUUUUUACCACUCUGCUUUCCGAGCCGCGCUCAAACACAUCGUGCCCGUCAUCUUGUCUACUCGCGAAAGGCAGCAGAUUUCUGCUGAUGCAGUGAUGUCUGGAAAUGUCAAGGGCUCGCUUAUUGCCCCUUAAUGUAUCUCACCCCCCCCUGAAUUGCAGCGCAAGAUUUUCUCCUGCGGUAUACAGUAAGCUGUUCACACCACGGUGCCGCCGCUCCAGCAAUUACUGACGCUGCAGCUUUGCAACCAGCUCUUCUCGCUCCGCUUCCAGCACGAGCUGUCUCCCUUAGACCCGAUUUGCUCUUGUAUCAUCUCGCCUGUAAAGUCAUUUAAAGCUCAUUCUAGGCACUUGCACGGGCGGCAUGAGCGCAGUGAGGAUCCGGGCUGCUUUUUCCCCUGCAGGUGCAAUGUAAAGUUGCCUCAUGACAUUCACCGGCGCCCUGCUGUUGGAGGAUUUUACUCGAGGAUAAGACAAAUUCAGGACCUUUCAAGAACAACUCACGAGGCAGCAGCAACAACAGCAGCAGAUGAACUAAAGAGCGGCAAUGGUCAAGUCGACGAGAGCCGCAGUGGAGCCGCACUGAGGCACAGCAGCCAAGCAGCCCCCUCGUAUCCGGGGACGUCUUCAGCAAUUCAAGGGGCGUGGGAAGCCGGGGAGUGAAACGUUUCCCCUGCUCCUGUAUGCCUGCUCAGUGAGACCAGCCACUUUCCCGACGCAACUU
rnacentral:lncRNA from 1 species